rnacentral:rRNA from 1 species
GUGUCAGCAGCCGCGGUAAUACGUAGGUGGCAAGCGUUAUCCGGAUUUACUGGGUGUAAAGGGCGCGUAGGCGGGGAUGCAAGUCAGAUGUGAAAUCUAUGGGCUCAACCCAUAAACUGCAUUUGAAACUGUAUCUCUUGAGUGCUGGAGAGGUAGAUGGAAUUCCUUGUGUAGCGGUGAAAUGCGUAGAUAUAAGGAAGAACACCAGUGGCGAAGGCGAUCUACUGGACAGUAACUGACGCUGAGGCGCGAGAGCGUGGGGAGCAAACAGGAUUAGAUACCCUGGUAGUCCACGCUGUAAACGAUGAAUACUAGGUGUGGGGGGACUGACCCCUUCCGUGCCGCAGUUAACACAAUAAGUAUUCCACCUGGGGAGUACGGCCGCAAGGUUGAA